GAUUUCUGGCACGAUGUGCCUGGCCCGCGCCGUUAGGUUGUGAGUGCUGGGUUGCGUCUGCCAUCCUUCCAGAGAGCGGCUCUACCCCUCACGGGGCCGGAGUUCGCCAUCUGGAUCUUUUACUUUGAAAAAAUUAGAGUGUUUCAAGCAGGCUUUAUGCUAUGAAUACAUUAGCAUGGAAUAAUAAUUUAGGACUUCGGUUCUAUUUUGUUGGUUUCUAGGACUGAAGUAAUGAUUGAUAGGGAUAGUUGGGGGUGCUAGUAUUCAGCGGCCAGAGGUGAAAUUCUCGGAUUCGCUGAAGACUAACUUAUGCGAAAGCAUU
rnacentral:rRNA from 1 species